rnacentral:rRNA from 1 species
UCGGGUUGUAAAGCUCUUUUGUCAGGGAAGAAAAGGGAUUGGCUAAUAUCUGGUCCUCAUGACGGUACCUGAAGAAUAAGCACCGGCUAACUACGUGCCAGCAGCCGCGGUAAUACGUAGGGUGCAAGCGUUAAUCGGAAUUACUGGGCGUAAAGCGUGCGCAGGCGGUUUUGUAAGACUGUCGUGAAAUCCCCGGGCUCAACCUGGGAAUGGCGAUGGUGACUGCAAGGCUAGAGUUUGGCAGAGGGGGGUAGAAUUCCACGUGUAGCAGUGAAAUGCGUAGAUAUGUGGAGGAACACCGAUGGCGAAGGCAGCCCCCUGGGUCAAAACUGACGCUCAUGCACGAAAGCGUGGGGAGCAAACAGGAUUAGAUACCCUGGUAGUCCACGCCCUAAACGAUGUCUACUAGUUGUCGGGUCUUAAUUGACUUGGUAACGCAGCU